rnacentral:rRNA from 1 species
CCUUGUCGGGUAAGUUCCGACCUGCACGAAUGGCGUAACGACUUCUCCACUGUCUCAACCACGAACUCGGCGAAAUUGCACUACGAGUAAAGAUGCUCGUUACGCGCAGCAGGACGGAAAGACCCCGGGACCUUUACUACAGCUUGGUAUUGGUGUUCGGUACGGCUUGUGUAGGAUAGGUGGGAGACUGUGAAGCAUGCACGCCAGUGUGUGUGGAGUCAACGUUGAAAUACCACUCUGGUCGUUCUGGAUAUCUAACCUCGGUCCGUGAUCCGGAUCAGGGACAGUGCCUGGUGGGUAGUUUAACUGGGGCGGUUGCCUCCUAAAAGGUAACGGAGGCGCCCAAAGGUUCCCUCAGCCUGGUUGGCAAUCAGGUUUUGAGUGUAAGUGCACAAGGGAGCUUGACUGUGAGACAGGCAUGUCGAGCAGGGACGAAAGUCGGGACUAGUGAUCCGGCGGUGGCUUGUGGAAGCGCCGUCGCUCAACGGAUAAAAGGUACCCCGGGGAUAACAGGCUGAUCUUGCCCAAGAGUCCAUAUCGACGGCAUGGUUUGGCACCUCGAUGUCGGCUCGUCGCAUCCUGGGGCUGGAGUAGGUCCCAAGGGUUGGGCUGUUCGCCCAUUAAAGCGGUACGCGAGCUGGGUUUAGAACGUCGUGAGACAGUUCGGUCCCUAUCCGCUGUGCGCGUAGGAAACUUGAGAAGAGCUGUCCCUAGUACGAGAGGACCGGGAUGGACGAACCUCUGGUGUGUCAGUUGUUCUGCCAAGAGCACGGCUGAUUAGCUACGUUCGGAAGUGAUAACCGCUGAAAGCAUCUAAGCGGGAAGCACGCUUCAAGAUGAGGUUUCCAUGGGCUUCGGCCCGAGAGGCUCCCAGCUAGACUACUGGGUUGAUAGGCCAGACGUGGAAGCACAGUAAUGUGUGUAGCUGACUGGUACUAAUAAGCCGAUAACUUGACACAACAAAG